GUGUCAGCAGCCGCGGUAAGACGAACCGUGCGAACGUUGUUCGGAAUCACUGGGCUUAAAGGGCGCGUAGGCGGGCUGUCAAGUCUGGGGUGAAAUGCCGCGGCUCAACCGUGGAACUGCCUUAGAUACUGACGGCCUCGAGGAAGGUAGGGGCAUGCGGAACUGUAGGUGGAGCGGUGAAAUGCGUUGAUAUCUACAGGAACUCCGGUGGCGAAAGCGGCGUGCUGGACCUUUUCUGACGCUGAGGCGCGAAAGCUAGGGGAGCAAACGGGAUUAGAUACCCUUGUAGUCC
rnacentral:rRNA from 1 species